AUGUACUCCCUUUUGCCCCUUCUCCUGGCCAUCCUCUUAGAGGCUGGUGUUGGGGCUCAGAAAAUCCACCAGUGGCCAGCCACCAAGCUGCAGGUUGCAGGAAGCCAGCUUUUCCUGGAGUGUUUCACAGAAGGGACAUCAAGUCCCAAUCUCUACUGGUAUCAUCAGCCCCCAGGUGGGGUUCUGCAGCUGCUGUCCUACUCUAUGAGUCAAAACCAUGUAGAGAAUGAGAUGCCUCAGCGUUUCUUAGGCUCAAGACCUCAGGAUGGUCAUUUCCAGCUCAGCUCCCCGAAGCUACUUGUCACGGACUCUGGUUUCUAUUUCUGUGCCUGGAGCCUCACACUGAAUUGA